ACACUGUAAAAAAUUUCCGGGAUUUCACAAGAUGUAAUUGUGAUAUUUCACAGUAAAUUACAUUAUUAGCAUGUCACAGGCUUUAACUGUGACAUUUCACAAUAUAGUACAGUAUUCAGACUUUUAUUGUGAAAAUAAUGCCAUCGGCGAAAUCACAGGGAACGGCUGUAAGUUCCGACGCGCGCUAUCUGUUUGGGUUCUCUCAUCUCUGCGGUCUCAUCCAACGGAUUCUGUGGUAAGUGUUAAAAUGUCAAAUUUUGUCAAAUAAAUGACUGAUUUAUUUUCAAAAUAUAUGUCAUAGUGCAUGUAGUAUUAUCCAAAUGUCGUUAUUUGUAGGUUUCGCGUGGGUUGAACCGCUAAAUUUGAAAAUAAAGCAAUGAACAGAUGUUGGUAGUGUUACUGUGAGACCUUUUAGGAGCUUUAUUAAAAAUAAAACAUUAUUUGUUAACUUGAGCUUUUCUUAGUGCUAACAGCUUUCUCUCUUUUUCUUCCUUCACAGCAUCUUUCUGCGGUAACCACUGGGGAAUAAAGUUAUGAGGUAAACUGUGGCUUAUACGAACAUUAUGGCCGUUAUUAUCAGAUAGAAAAAUGAACUUAAUUAAUAUGCCCGGUUUCAGUAAAACCAGAUGAUGGUGUCGUGGAUUAGGGUAGACAUAAAUUCAUUUCAAAAUAUAACUUAUAGAGAUGUGUGAGAGAGAUACGGAGCAGCGGUUAUCUGCCGCGUCACCUGAAAAAUAAAGUGCGUAUGUCAAUGUUUUAAGACAUUUUAAAGAGUGAUUCACAUAUAUUGCGUCUUUUGCGCGCUCAAGUACGUUAUUUCAAAUAUAGGCGAAGCGACGCGCUCGUUUUUUCAGGCGCGCCCGCACCGCAUUGAUUUAAAAACAUUUCAACUUUUCAGAGUCAUCUGUGUUUUUGCAAGUAACUUGCACGAACGUAAAUGUGAUUUCCAGCUGGUAAUUCAUAAGUUUUAAUCAUUAUCUUGUGAUGGUGUUUGUAUUUAUGGGCAGAACUGACUACAGCGUGGUGAGCUUUCUAACUACACACACAGUUCAUUUUAAGGUUGACACCCUAGUUGUCCUGCCCUAUAGUUUCACAUUUUAACUAAUCUGUAUAUAUUGUUCAGUAGUGCUUAGUAACUUUCAUGUGUGUGAACCUGCAUUUAUGUAUACAACAUGAAAAGUGAAGCCUUCUUCAUUGUUUCCAGGUAUUUUUUCCACACUUCACAAGGAUGGGGACAUCACUCAGAAGAGUAAAGUUUCGAGAAGCCCUGGAUACCAACUACCAUAACAUUCUGAAGUUUGUCCAAGGAGUCAACUAUCAUCAACGGGGUGCUUCUUGGGCAUUAAUUCGGAGACAGACAGGCAGAAAGGACAGAAACAACAAGCUGCAAGUCUGUACACUGAUUAGAAAACUUAUGACUUGAAUGGAUGUCAGUCUAGUGUGUCACAAAUACUAGUUCUUUGUUUAGCUAGAGGCGAUUGUACACUUUGUACUCUUACAAUGUUCUAUAUCAGGAGUCUCCAACGUGGUGCCCAUGGGCAGCAGGUAUAUACACAGAGUCUGUGAGGUGCCCACCAAAUCACAUUCUAUUAAUAGUCUCAAUUGUAAUGUUUGUUGAUUACAUAUUUUUUAUAUUGACUUGGCUUGGUUUACAUAUGUUAAAAUUUUAAACAAUACAAAAACAUAUCAAAAAGUACAAUGAAAUAAAAUCAACAAGUAAAACAAAAAAAGUUUUGAGUACACUAUAUCAAAAGGUAGCCCUCCAGAAUGUUUUAUCCAUUGUGGUAGCCCUUGCUCACAAAAAGGUUGGAGACCCCUGUUCUAUAUUGUGUUUGUUAAAUAAAGAAACAUGAAGAAAUUAGUGAAUGUCAGUCUACAUUGUAAAAAUAAAAUAUUUGUUGCACUUAUUUUUUAGGUUUAAUUAACUCUAAAUUACAAUUUAUUUCAACUUUCUUGACUAGUGAGGAGUUGCUAUUAAGUAUAAAAAAUAAAGUUGAAAUAACUUAAGCUAACUACUUUAAUUUUAUAAUUUAUUGCAACUCUUCAUUAGUCAAAAAAGUUAAAUGAAUUAUAAAUUCAAGUUGAUUAAAUUAAAAAAUAUAAGUUCCGUUUUUUACAGUGCAGAGCGGGGUGGGCAUUCCUGGUCUUUGAGGGCCAUUGUCCUGCAAAGUUGAGCUCCAACCCUAAUCAAACACACCUCAAUGUCAUUUCCAAGUCAUACUGAAGCCUUUGAUUGAGAUUUUCAGGUGUGUUUGAUUAGGGUUGGAGCUAAACUUUGCAGGACAGUGGCCUUCAAGGACCAGGAAUGCCCACCCCUGCUGUAGAGUGUAAGCAGUGUUCCAAUGCACGAAAGGAAAUAUUAUUCUGUGUAGUUAUUAUUCUGAUGUUAUUUAUACUAUCUGAGAUAGUCAAUGAAUAAUAUGUAAUAAUAAUAUGUAAUAAUAUGUUAUGUACAAAAUAAAAGUAUGAAAUCGA